CAAGUCGAGGGGUAGAAGGAGCUUGCUCCUUUGAGACCGGCGCACGGGUGCGUAACGCGUAUGCAAUCUACCUUUUACAGGGGGAUAGCCCAGAGAAAUUUGGAUUAAUACCUCAUAGUAUAUUGAAAUGGCAUCAUUUUAAUAUUAAAGUUCCAACGGUAAAAGAUGAGCAUGCGUCCCAUUAGUUAGUUGGUAAGGUAACGGCUUACCAAGACAAUGAUGGGUAGGGGUCCUGAGAGGGAGAUCCCCCACACUGGUACUGAGACACGGACCAGACUCCUACGGGAGGCAGCAGUGAGGAAUAUUGGGCAAUGGAGGCAACUCUGACCCAGCCAUGCCGCGUGCAGGAAGACGGUCCUAUGGAUUGUAAACUGCUUUUAUACGGGAAGAAACACCCCCUCGUGAGGGGGCUUGACGGUACCGUAAGAAUAAGGAUCGGCUAACUCCGUGCCAGCAGCCGCGGUAAUACGGAGGAUCCAAGCGUUAUCCGGAAUCAUUGGGUUUAAAGGGUCCGUAGGCGGCCUUAUAAGUCAGUGGUGAAAUCUCCUAGCUCAACUAGGAAACUGCCAUUGAUACUGUAGGGCUUGAAUUAUUAGGAAGUAACUAGAAUAUGUAGUGUAGCGGUGAAAUGCUUAGAUAUUACAUGGAAUACCAAUUGCGAAGGCAGGUUACUACUAAUGGAUUGACGCUGAUGGACGAAAGCGUGGGGAGCGAACAGGAUUAGAUACCCUGGUAGUCCACGCCGUAAACGAUGGAUACUAGCUGUUGGGAGCAAUCUCAGUGGCUAAGCGAAAGUGAUAAGUAUCCCACCUGGGGAGUACGUUCGCAAGAAUGAAACUCAAAGGAAUUGACGG
rnacentral:rRNA from 1 species